UACGUAGGGUCCAAGCGUUGUCCGGAAUCAUUGGGCGUAAAGCGCGUGUAGGCGGCUCGAUAAGUCUGCUGUGAAAGUCCAGGGCUCAACCCUGGGAUGCCGGUGGAUACUGUCGAGCUCGAGUCCGGAAGAGGCGAGUGGAAUUCCUGGUGUAGCGGUGAAAUGCGCAGAUAUCAGGAGGAACACCGAUGGCGAAGGCAGCUCGCUGGGACGUGACUGACGCUGAGACGCGAAAGCGUGGGGAGCAAACAGG
rnacentral:rRNA from 1 species